CAGGGAGCCUGAUGUUGGACUUGAUCCCGGGUCUCCAGGAUCAGGCCCUGGGCUGAAGGCGGCGCUAAACCACUGAGCAACCCGCGCUGCCCCCCAACUCGUUAUUUUAAAACAAAUCCCAAUUAUCGUCUUACUUCAUCUGGUCACUGGUCUUUCUUCCCUUUGUAUUUUGGAAUGAACUUACUUUUAAGAGAGAAAACAAACAAGUGAACAUGAUAGUCUAUCAGGGGAGCCACGAUCAGGCCCACGGCAAUCAAGCGGAACAUCACUGAACCUGUGUAGGGCACCCAGAAGCACUGCCUUUUCUUCUUUCGACUGCAGUUGAUGUUUUGCUGUGGAACAAACCGUCCCAAAAUGGGAGUGGCUGCUGAAUGAGCAGGCAUUGUGAAAUUAGAAAUACUUACACCAUAUGCUACAAUGUCUAGGCUUAAAUCUGUCAGCCUCAAGUCAGCUGUUCCAAGGCAAGAUAAGAACUUCAUGGACCAGAAUGACUGCAUGCUUCACCUGAGGUCUCACUUGGGUCUGAUUGCUUCCAUGCUCCACUGCUUCUCUCCCUGCUAAGGACAUUUAUUUGACAAA